CCCUCUUUACAUUGAGGAUACUGAGGUGUGGAAAGAAAUGAUGUUUCCCAGAUCAUGUAGCUGGUCAGAGGCAGAACUAACAGGGAAACUCAGAGUUCCUGACACCAGGGUGCAGAGAACGCAUUUUCAAAGAUGUCCAAGACUCCAAAAUUCUUUGAACUGUCACUGUGAGGUGGAGAAAUGGAAGUGCAAUCAACAAAGCCUGAAAGAACCAUUGUCUACACAGUGCUUCCACAGAGAUGUCAUCUAUGAAACCAGCUGGCUUCAUCUCUGGAGAAGUACAACUGAUGAUCCAAAAAACCUGAUGGAUCCAUGUCUUCCUUUAGACUACUGGGAGGGCUGGCUACGCAAUCUGCAGAACCCAGUGCAAAAUGAAAACGCAGAGCCCCUUGUUCAAAAAUUAUUAAGAAUUUCAAGAUGGCACCAGCCGAGUGUGAAAGCAUAGGGCCCUUCUAUCUCA